rnacentral:rRNA from 1 species
UCCGUAGGCGGGCUAAUAAGUCAGGGGUGAAAUACCACAGCUCAACUGUGGAACUGCCUUUGAUACUGUUAGUCUUGAGUUAUAUGGAAGUAGAUAGAAUGUGUAGUGUAGCGGUGAAAUGCAUAGAUAUUACACAGAAUACCGAUUGCGAAGGCAGUCUACUACGUAUAUACUGACGCUAAUGGACGAAAGCGUGGGGAGCGAACAGGAUUAGAUACCCUGGUAGUCC